AUCGAGAGGUGGGCUGGACGUAUCACAAGUGCGAAUGCUGACAUAAGUAACGAUAAAACGGGUGAAAAACCCGUUCGCCGGAAGACCAAGGGUUCCUGUCCAACGUUAAUCGGGGCAGGGUGAGUCGGCUCCUAAGGCGAGGCUGAAAAGCGUAGUCGAUGGGAAACAGGUUAAUAUUCCUGUACUUGGUAAAGCUGCGAUGUGGGGACGGAGUAGGUUAGGUUAUCGCACUGUUGGAUAUGUGCGUUUAAGUUGGUAGGUGGGAAGUUUAGGCAAAUCCGGGCUUCCUUAACACAGAGAGAUGAUGACGAGGCUCUACGGAGCUGAAGUAACUGAUACCACACUUCCAGGAAAAGCCACUAAGCGAAAGGCUUUACUAAACCGUACUGAAAACCGACACAGGUGGUCAGGUAGAGAAUACUCAGGCGCUUGAGAGAACUCGGGUGAAGGAACUAGGCAAAAUAGCACCGUAACUUCGGGAGAAGGUGCGCCGGCGUAGAUUGUAAGGGCUAGCCCCUGAAGGUUGAACCGGUCGAAGAUACCAGCUGGCUGCAACUGUUUAUUAAAAACACAGCACUCUGCAAACACGAAAGUGGACGUAUAGGGUGUGAUGCCUGCCCGGUGCUGGAAGGUUAAUUGAUGGUGUAAUCGCAAGAGAAGCACCUGAUCGAAGCCCCAGUAAACGGCGGCCGUAACUAUAACGGUCCUAAGGUAGCGAAAUUCCUUGUCGGGUAAGUUCCGACCUGCACGAAUGGCAUAAUGAUGGCCAGGCUGUCUCCACCCGAGACUCAGUGAAAUUGAAAUCGCCGUGAAGAUGCGGUGUACCCGCGGCUAGACGGAAAGACCCCGUGAACCUUUACUAUAGCUUGACACUGAACAUUGAAUUUUGAUGUGUAGGAUAGGUGGGAGACUUAGAAGUAGUCACGCCAGUGAUUAUGGAGUCGACCUUGAAAUACCACCCUUUAACGUUUGAUGUUCUAACGAAGAUGACGAAACGUGGUCUCGGACAGUGUCUGGUGGGUAGUUUGACUGGGGCGGUCUCCUCCCAAAGCGUAACGGAGGAGCACGAAGGUUUGCUAAUCACGGUCGGACAUCGUGAGGUUAGUGCAAUGGUAUAAGCAAGCUUAACUGCGAGACAGACAAGUCGAGCAGGUACGAAAGUAGGUCAUAGUGAUCCGGUGGUUCUGAAUGGAAGGGCCAUCGCUCAACGGAUAAAAGGUACUCCGGGGAUAACAGGCUGAUACCGCCCAAGAGUUCAUAUCGACGGCGGUGUUUGGCACCUCGAUGUCGGCUCAUCACAUCCUGGGGCUGAAGUAGGUCCCAAGGGUAUGGCUGUUCGCCAUUUAAAGUGGUACGCGAGCUGGGUUUAGAACGUCGUGAGACAGUUCGGUCCCUAUCUGCCGUGGGCGUAGGAGAAUUGGUUGGGGCUGCUCCUAGUACGAGAGGACCGGAGUGGACGCACCACUGGUGUUCCAGUUGUCUCGCCAGAGGCAUUGCUGGGUAGCUAAGUGCGGAAGAGAUAAGUGCUGAAAGCAUCUAAGCACGAAACUUGCCAAGAGAUGAGU
rnacentral:rRNA from 1 species